rfam:Gossypium arboreum cultivar AKA8401 contig_5333_5, whole genome shotgun sequence.
AAUCCAUGCAUAGGACAUUUCCUAAGCAGAUAUUUGAACCUUUCUUAUGCUUCAUAUAAUGUUUCACCUUCUAGUUACCUGAAGGAUGUUAUGUCAUUUCUCAGUUU